CCUACGGGGGGCAGCAGUGGGGAAUAUUGCACAAUGGGGGAAACCCUGAUGCAGCGACGCCGCGUGGGUGAAGAAGUACUUCGGUACGUAAAGCCCUAUCAGCAGGGAAGAAAAUGACGGUACCUGAUUAAGAAGCCCCGGCUAACUACGUGCCAGCAGCCGCGGUAAUACGUAGGGGGCAAGCGUUAUCCGGAUUUACUGGGUGUAAAGGGAGCGUAGACGGACUUGCAAGUCUGAUGUGAAAAUCCGGGGCCCAACCCCGGAACUGCAUUGGAAACUGUAUAUCUAGAGUGUCGGAGAGGCAA
rnacentral:rRNA from 1 species